GUAACACCCCGUUUUUUUUUCCUCCUAAUGGCAUAAGAUAAAGCACUCCUACGACUCGACACGCAAAUCCCAUGUCAUUCCAAUUAUACAUAAGAGAAACUUAUCCACAACUCAUUAUUCCAAACCAAUUGUACAUACAAUUCCACCUCUACAUCACAUGGCAACACAAUAUCAUACAUUUCCAGAAAUUCAAUACCCAUACUAAGACACCUUUUAUAAACUACUUUAUGCCACAAAUAAAACUUGUGCCCUAUGGCACUACAGACNN
rnacentral:lncRNA from 1 species